rnacentral:rRNA from 1 species
GACGAACGCUGGCGGCGUGCCUAACACAUGCAAGUCGAACGGGGAGUUAUUUAUAACUCCUAGUGGCGAACGGGUGAGUAACGCGUAGACAACCUGCCUCUAAAUUGGGGACAACACCGCGAAAGUGGUGCUAAUACCGAAUGUGGUAACUUGGUCGCAUGACUAGGUUAAGAAAGAUGGCCUCUAUAUAUAAGCUAUCGAUUAGAGAUGGGUCUGCGUCUGAUUAGCUAGUUGGUGAGGUAAUGGCUCACCAAGGCGACGAUCAGUAGCCGGUCGGGGAGAAUGACCGGACACCAUGGGACUGAGACACGGCCCAGACUCCUGCGGGAGGCAGCAGUGGGGAAUCUUCCGCAAUGGACGAAAGUCUGACGGGGCAACGCCGCGUGAGUGAAGAAGGGCUUCGGAUUGUAAAGCUCUGUCGUUUGGGACGAACGUGGAUUGUGUGAAUAAUGCAGUCUAAUGACGGUACCAAAGGAGGAAGCCACGGCUAACUACGUGCCAGCCGCCGCCGUAA